CCUACGGGAGGCUGCAGUGGGGGAUAUUGCACAAUGGGGGGAACCCUGAUCCAGCGACGCCGCGUGAGUGAAGGAGCCUUUCGGCUUGUAAAGCUCUAUCAGCAGGGAAGAAGAUGACGGUAUCUCACGAAGAAGCACCGGCUAACUACGGGCCAGCAGCCGCCGUAAUACGGAGGGGGCAAGCGUUAUUCGGAAUCACUGGGCGUAAAGAGCGCGUAGUCGGGAUAGCAAGUCAGAUGUGAAAACCUCUGGCUUAACCAUAGAACUGCAUUUGAAACUGUUAUUCUAGAGUACGGGAGAGGUAAGUGGAAUUCCUGGUGUAGCGGUAAAAUGCGUAGAGAUAAAGAGGAACACCAGUGGCGAAGGCGGCCUGCUAGACAGUAACUGACGCUGAGGCGCGAAAGCGUGGGGAGCAAACAGGAUUAGAUACCCUUGUAGUC
rnacentral:rRNA from 1 species